GGAGCGGAAGAUGCAUGUCUAGCGGCGGACGGGUGAGUAACGCGUGAGCAACCUGUCCCUUACAGGGGGAUAACACAGCGAAAGUUGUACUAAUACCGCAUAAGACCACGGUAGGACAUCCGUACAGGGGGUCAAAGGAGUAAUCCGGUAAGGGGUGGGCUCGCGUCCGAUUAGAUAGUUGGUGAGGUAACGGCCCACCAAGUCGACGAUCGGUAGCCGACCUGAGAGGGUGAUCGGCCACAUUGGGACUGAGACACGGCCCAAACUCCUACGGGAGGCAGCAGUGGGGAAUAUUGGGCAAUGGGGGGAACCCGUGACCCAGCAACGCCGCGUGAGGGAAGAAGGUUUUCGGUAUCGUAAACCUCUGUCCUUGGUGAAGAGAGAGAGACGGUAGCCAAGGAGGAAGCCCCGGCUAACUACGUGCCAGCCGCUGC
rnacentral:rRNA from 1 species